UAAAUGGCCCUUUUUAGGGCCACAAUUUUUUAAAACGAAGGAAUUU
rfam:Apis mellifera strain DH4 linkage group 1, whole genome shotgun sequence.